UACGUAGGGUGCGAGCGUUGUCCGGAAUUACUGGGCGUAAAGAGCUCGUAGGUGGUUUGUCGCGUUUGUUCGUGAAAAUUCACAGCUUAACUGUGGGCGUGCGGGCGAUACGGGCAGACUGGAGUACUGCAGGGGAGACUGGAAUUCCUGGUGUAGCGGUGGAAUGCGCAGAUAUCAGGAGGAACACCGGUGGCGAAGGCGGGUCUCUGGGCA
rnacentral:rRNA from 1 species